rnacentral:rRNA from 1 species
UACGUAGGGUGCAAGCGUUGUCCGGAAUUAUUGGGCGUAAAGAGCUCGUAGGCGGUUUGUUGCGUCCGCUGUGAAACCCCGGGGCUCAACCCCGGGCCUGCAGUGGAUACGGGCAGACUAGAGUCCGGCAGGGGAGACUGGAAUUCCUGGUGUAGCGGUGAAAUGCGCAGAUAUGAGGAGGAACACCGGUGGCGAAGGCGGGUCUCUGGGCCGGAACUGACGCUGAGGAGCGAAAGCGAGGGGAGCAAACGGG